AACGAAUGCUGGCGGCAUGCCUAACACAUGCCAGUCGAACGAGACCUUCGGGUCUAGUGGCGCACGGGUGCGUAACGCGUGGGAACCUGCCCUUAGGUUCGGAAUAACUCCCCGAAAGGGGUGCUAAUACCGGAUAAUGUCUUCGGACCAAAGAUUUAUCGCCUUUGGAUGGGCCCGCGUUGGAUUAGCUAGUUGGUAGGGUAAAAGCCUACCAAGGCGACGAUCCAUAGCUGGUCUGAGAGGAUGAUCAGCCACACUGGGACUGAGACCAGGCCCAGACGCGAGGGAGAGGGGGGGGAGGGGAAACAAGGAGAGGAGGCAAAAGCCAGCACCGCCGAUUCCGGGAGGAUGGGAAUGGCGUUGGGGAUGGAAAGCUCUUUUCCCGGAGAGGGAAUGACGGGAACGGGUAAAAAAGCCCCGGCCAACUCCGUG
rnacentral:rRNA from 1 species